GGACUGCGGAGACAUUA
rnacentral:rRNA from 2 species